rnacentral:rRNA from 1 species
GAUGAACGCUGGCGGCGUGCUUAACACAUGCAAGUCGAACGAAGCAUUUACCAGGAAGUUUUCGGAUGGAAUGGUGAAUGACUGAGUGGCGGACGGGUGAGUAACGCGUGGGUAACCUGCCUCAUACAGGGGGAUAACAGUUGGAAACGACUGCUAAUACCGCAUAAGCGCACAGAGCCGCAUGGCACCGUGUGAAAAG